GACGUAGGGCGCGAGCGUUGUCCGGAUUUAUUGGGCGUAAAGAGCUCGUAGGCGGCUUGUCGCGUCGACUGUGAAAACCCGCGGCUCAACCGUGUGGCUUGCAGUUGAUACGGGCAGGCUAGAGUCCGGUAGGGGAGACUGGAAUUCCUGGUGUAGCGGUGAAAUGCGCAGAUAUCAGGAGGAACACCGGUGGCGAAGGCGGGUCUCUGGGCCGAUACUGACGCUGAGACGCGAAAGCGUGGGGAGCGAACAGG
rnacentral:rRNA from 1 species